rnacentral:lncRNA from 10 species
CCCUAACCAACCCUUUUCCUUCCACCCCAACCCCUUCCAGUCCAUGAUUAAAUCAUCUCCCCCAGGCCCCAACUUCAACAUUUGGAAUUAAAAUUCCACAUGAAUUUUCAUAGGGACACACAGCCAAACCAUAUUAUUCUGACCCUGCUAUCCCAGAAUCUCAUGUCCUUAUCACAGAGUAAAAUACAAUCAUGCCUUUUCAAAAGUUCCAACAGCCUUAACUCAUUCCAAAUGUAAAAAGUUCAAAGUCUCACCUGAGACAAGGCUACUGUCCCUUCUGCAUAUGAGUCCCUGAAUUUAAAAGGGAUUUCUUUUCUUUCAAGGUACAAUGAUGGUACAGGCAUUGUGUAAGCUUUCUCAAUCCAAAGGGAAGAAAUUUCCCAUAAAAAUAACACAAAUGGGACCACAGGCCUAAUGCAAGUCCAAAACCCAGCAGGACAGUAUUCACUCAAUCUUUAAGCUCCAUAAUCAUCAAGAGAACUCACUAUCAUGCAGACAGCAUUAAGGAGAUAGUGAUUAACCAUUUGUGAAGAAUCCACCCCCCUAUCCUCAUCUUUCAC